CACCGCCUCCAUUGCUGCCGUUUCACCACUCCCGAUGCCAUCCUCUCGACUGGAUGACGGGGCGACGGGGGACGCCUCAGUGCGCCGUAUCUCAGAGUCCAGCACCCCCCCCUCCCCAGUCGCUGCGUUGGAAAGCCGGGCAGCCCUCCUAUGUCCCUGCCACGUGCCGAGCCGCUUCUGGUGGUGACGGGGCCAGGCGCCAACACUGCUGAAAACGACUGAGCGAUGUGCCGCUGGUGGUGUCGGCGGCCAGGUCCUGGACGGCGCUGCGUCGGAGCGACCUGCGACCGUGUGAGCGCGCUUGUGCCAUCCAUGCGAUCAGGCCGAGUGCCAGCGUGUCUCGUCCGGCCCCGACACUGCCUGCUGGUGUGGGGAACGCGAACCCCCCCCGACAGCAGCACCAGGUGCUGACCAGCGUGAUGGAAGCGGCUGCGAGGCGACCUGCGAGACGGUGGCGGGCGGAGAGGUUGAGGCAGGGGCCGCUCACAGAUGGCCGCGUCAGCGCAUGUGGUGCAACGCUUGUGUGCCGCUGCGUGGCACCGCGCGGACGGGGUCUUGCGUGAGGGCUUUGGCUCGUGCGGCGCGGUGGAGCCGUGGACACGCGUGGAUGCAGAACAGAAAUCGAAUCGUGCUCUUGAUGCGCACACGCGCGUACGUAAGUGCCAUCGGACACGAACGUGUGCAUCUUCCUUUCUCUUUCUUGUGUGUGUGUAUGUGCGUAUGCUGCUUGCCGUCGAGUGCACGUACCUCUUCCUGCUUCCAUGUUUCACUUGCUUCUCUUCGCCGUCUCUCUGUGUUUGUCUGUACGUCCUUCCCCCUCGUUCUCUUUCCCUCUUCUCCCCUCCCCCAUUUUGUGUGUGUGUGUGUGUGUGUACGCGCUGCGUUCAUUGUUGUCAUGAAGUGGUGGUCGUCGGAUGGCACUUUCUCUCUCGCUUUUUGCAUGGCUCAUCGCUUCAACUUGGCUUCUCUUCCCCCCUCCUGCACCCGUCCUCAUCCUUCUCGAAGCGUCAGUGGCAACCAAGCCAGAACAG
rnacentral:misc_RNA from 1 species